GGCCUGCGGUAAUUUAACAUGCACCGAUCAGUGCUUUGGCUCUGCCUCAUACGGUGGUUGGCACUUCAAUGGGCACUUGAGAUUGUGCCUUCCUAAUGACAACACACAUUGUGGUGGUGUUAAGAACGAUUUUCAGAGCUGUGAGGAAUGCAACCAAAAGUGCAACACUAGCGUGUGUGCCGUAGAAAUGACGACGCAAGCUCCGGAUGCUGCGCGGAAAGUGCGUGGGCAUGGGAAGCGUUAGAAUGGGCAUUCAACGCACUCUGUGACACAACUGCUUCAGAAAAAAAAAGUUGUACCUCUGUUCACGCAAGUUAGUUUACGAUAAUGAAAAAAGAAGGGCAUCUGUAGACAUAGGCUAAUAGUUACACACAGGAAUCUGAGACCAAUAAAAAGUAUUUUUU